rnacentral:rRNA from 1 species
UACGGGGGGAGCAAGCGUUGUUCGGAUUUACUGGGCGUAAAGGGCGCGUAGGCGGCCUCUGCAAGUCGACUGUGAAAUCUCCGGGCUUAACCCGGAAAGGUCAGCCGAUACUGCAGGGCUAGAGUGCAGAAGGGGCAACCGGAAUUCUCGGUGUAGCGGUGAAAUGCGUAGAUAUCGAGAGGAACACCUGCGGCGAAGGCGGGUUGCUGGGCUGACACUGACGUGAGGCGCGAAAAGCUAGGGGAGCGAACGGG